UACGUAGGGGGCAAGCGUUGUCCGGAUUUAUUGGGCGUAAAGAGCGUGUAGGCGGCCAGACAGGUCCGUUGUGAAAACUCGAGGCUCAACCUCGAGACGCCGAUGGAAACCGUCUGGCUAGAGUCCGGAAGAGGAGAGUGGAAUUCCCGGUGUAGCGGUGAAAUGCGCAGAUAUCGGGAAGAACACCCGUGGCUAAGGCGGCUCUCUAGUACGGUACUGACGCUGAGACGCGAAAAGCGUGGGGGAGCGAAACAGG
rnacentral:rRNA from 1 species